UUCCGGUUGAUCCUGCCGGAGGUUACUGCUAUCGGUGUUCGACUAAGCCAUGCAAGUCAUAUGUUCCUCGUGAACAUGGCAUACUGCUCAGUAACACGUGGAUAACCUGCCCUUGGGUCUGGGAUAACCCCGGGAAACUGGGGAUAAUACCGGAUGACGCAUAUGUGCUGGAAUGCUUUAUGCGUAAAACGGAUUCGUCCGCCCAAGGAUGGGUCUGCGGCCUAUCAGGUAGUAGUGGGUGUAAUGUACCUACUAGCCAACAACGGGUACGGGUUGUGAGAGCAAGAGCCCGGAGAUGGAUUCUGAGACAUGAAUCCAGGCCCUACGGGGCGCAGCAGGCGCGAAAACUUUACAAUGCGGGAAACCGUGAUAAGGGAACACCGAGUGCCAGCAUCAUAUGCUGGCUGUCCAGAUGUGUAAACUACAUCUGUUAGCAAGGGCCGGGCAAGACCGGUGCCAGCCGCCGCGGUUAACACCGGCGGCCCGAGUGGUGACCGUUAUUAUUGGGUCUAAAGGGUC
rnacentral:rRNA from 1 species